AAGAUUAAACUGAAGAGUUUGAUCCUGGCUCAGAUUGAACGCUGGUGGCAUGCUUAACACAUGCAAGUCGAACGGUAGCAGAUCUAGCUUGCUAGAUGCUGACGAGUGGCGGACGGGUGAGUAACGCGUGGGAAUUUACCUUUUAGUGGGGGAUAACUUUAGGAAACUGAAGCUAAUACCGCAUAAGACCUGAGGGUUAAAGAGGGCCUCUAUAUAUAAGCUCUUGCUAGGAGAUGAGCCCGCGUUGGAUUAGCUAGUUGGUAGGGUAAAGGCUUACCAAGGCGACGAUCCAUAGCUGGUUUGAGAGAAUGGCCAGCCACACUGGGACUGAGACACGGCCCAGACUCCUACGGGAGGCAGCAGUGGGGAAUAUUGGACAAUGGGGGAAACCCUGAUCCAGCAAUGCCACGUGUGUGAAGAAGGCCUUAGGGUUGUAAAGCACUUUCAGCGGGGAGGAAGGUAAGCUAAUUAAUACUUGGCUUAAUUGACGUUACCUGCAGAAGAAGCACCGGCUAACUCCGUGCCAGCAGCCGCGGUAAUACGGAGGGUGCGAGCGUUAAUCGGAAUUACUGGGCGUAAAGGGCGCGUAGGCGGAAGAUUAAGUUGGAUGUGAAAUCCCAGGGCUCAACCUUGGAACUGCAUCCGAAACUGGUAUUCUAGAGUAUGGUAGAGGAAAGUGGAAUUUCAGGUGUAGCGGUGAAAUGCGUAGAUAUCUGAAGGAACACCGGUGGCGAAGGCGACUUUCUGGAUCAAUACUGACGCUGAGGCGCGAAAGCAUGGGU
rnacentral:rRNA from 1 species